rnacentral:rRNA from 1 species
UUGGAACUGAGACACGGUCCAAACUCCUACGGGAGGCAGCAGUGAGGAAUAUUGGUCAAUGGACGAGAGUCUGAACCAGCCAAGUAGCGUGAAGGAUGACUGCCCUAUGGGUUGUAAACUUCUUUUAUAUGGGAAUAAAGUGGUCCACGUGUGGAUUUUUGUAUGUACCAUAUGAAUAAGGAUCGGCUAACUCCGUGCCAGCAGCCGCGGUAAUACGGAGGAUCCGAGCGUUAUCCGGAUUUAUUGGGCUUAAAGGGAGCGUAGGUGGACAGUUAAGUCAGUUGUGAAAGUUUGCGGCUCAACCGUAAAAUUGCAGUUGAUACUGGCUGUCUUGAGUACAGUA